CUCAUUUGUAAUAUUUUUGCAACUUUUAUGUUGGUCUGAAGUUCUUUGCAAACGAAUAGUUUAGCUAAUUAGGAUGGCGGGUCAAUGACCAUGAUGUCCCCGGAGACAUUUGUGGGUGGCUGGCCUGGCCCCGCCCUCCGUGGUGUGUUCUGGGUUUUAAUCGUCCGCCCCGCCCCAGUGCGUGCUCCCGCCCUUCGCUCCCGGUACCCGCUGGUCUGUCCCGUCUCAGUCAAGAAUUGUCAAACGUGUGCUGAGCGCCAGUGCGUGCCAGGCUCCGGCAGGGCCGGGGGAGAGCAAGCAGAAGUUGUCCCCGUCCUCAAGGAGCUACAGUCUAACAGGGAAGACAGAACCAACCAGAGAAUCGCAAAGGGCGGGGCAUGUGUCAAAAUCCACUCAUCAAGGAAAGAGUGUGGUAGAGGUAAGCACCUAUGGUUCAACGUGGGUGUUUCUCUAAUUGCGUCAUAGCACAACUUUGGGCAAAUUACUUGAUCUCUUUGAACUUCAGUUUCUUCCUCUUUUUUUAAUCUGUGAGGUGGGGUGAUAGUGUCUGCCUUACCAUCUAAUAGGAUUAAAAAAACAUUAACAUGUGUGAAAGCAUUUUAUAAAUUCUAAAGCCCUAUAAAAAUGCAAAGGUUUAUUAUUAUGACAUUAAACAUGAAUAAUUAUUAGGUACAAAAUGCAUGCCUAUUGUAUUAAAAUUUGAAAAUGGGACCUCUUUUGAAUGGGAUAGUCACUCCAUAUUUUAUUUAACCAAUCUGGAAUCCAUAGUAGCCUUCUCUUCUCCCACUCUUCCCUGAUGCUGAGCUCCCAGUCAAUAGUGAAAACCCUUGAGGUGUUUUAGCAAAGGUGGAGAAGUUUCGCCCUCGCCCUCCAUGGGCUGGUUGCUCUGUGGAGAGAAGGGGCUUGCAUUUAAGAGGAAUGACCAAGUGAGGGGUGCCCUCUUGGAUUAAAAACUUGAGCAGAGUCAACUCUGCUUGGUCUCUUGGUUAGCUCUUGUUAACCAACUGGGCCAACUGGACAAAUGAAUGACAGGUGAUGCUGGGACGAGAACUGAGGUUGGAGCUUGCUCUAUUCUAGCACCUAACACAACUUCCUGCUAGCUUUUCCUGGACUCAGUUUUUGUUGCUAGCAGACGUUGCACUGGCGAGUUUCACUGCAACUUCUGUUCAGCUCAUUUGGACAGAAGAAGGUGAUGUCCCGUUUGAGUUCAAGGUGCUCCAAUUUGGAGCAAGUGCACUUUGAGCUCAGGAGAACAAAUGCUAUCCUGGCUACUUGUUUUCACUUUCAAUUUCUAUAGUUAGGAGGUUAAAAAAAAAGAUUUCAAAUGUCAUUUGCUGUAAUGAUUAGCUCCAGUGAGGGAUUCUAUCUACGGUUAUUUGCUUCAAAGCUUUAAUUGGCUGAAGCUUGUAUAUUUGAUCAUUAACAAAAUGGUUUCCUUUUUUCUACCAUGUUAAUAAUCUUGUUUAAUGGAAAUGCAGCUUUGAUUUCUUCCUGGGCUAGGUUGCUAUUUUUAUGGCACUGAGAAGUGUUGGUUUAAGAUUUUGCCACAUAGGAGACAUGGCCACAUUCCAUCUUGGAAAUCUCCAAGGUUGGGACUGCUUAAAAAGAUGGGACGGGAAGGAAUCUUCUUGGCCCAGCUGCAGGAAGCAGUCUGUUUAGAUCAAAACGAAGCCACGAGGUUGGCUUAUGUGGAAACUUUAUACCUGUCCCACAUAUUUUAGACACUUCUGAAAAAACAAACAGCUCCAGAUUUGCAAUUACAGGGUCAAAAAGUCACAUGUUGGCCCCAGUGCCAAUUUAGUUAACUGAGUCUUCAAGCAGGCAGCUCUGAUGUUGUUAAGCAAGGGUAUGUUGUGGCCGUUUAACCAAUCUCUGCACCUGGAAAAAAUAAAAACUGCAACGAGAAAGAAAGCA
rnacentral:lncRNA from 1 species